rnacentral:rRNA from 1 species
UUUAACGGCCGCGGUAUUUUGACCGUGCAAAGGUAGCGCAAUCACUUGUCUUUUAAAUGAAGACCUGUAUGAAUGGCAUGACGAGGGCUUAACUGUCUCUUCUUUCCAGUCAAUGAAACUGAUCUCCCCGUGCAGAAGCGGGGAUACCCCCAUAAGACGAGAAGACCCUAUGGAGCUUUAGACGUAUGACAGCCCAUGUUAAACACCUCUAAACAAAGAACAAAACUUAUUGAGGUCUGCUCUAAUGUCUUUGGUUGGGGCGACCGCGGGGAAACAAAAAACCCCCAUGUGGACUGAAGGCACCCCCUUACAGCCAAGAGCAACAGCUCUAAACAACAGAACUUCUGACCAACAAGAUCCGGCAAGCCGAUCAACGGACCAAGUUACCCUAGGGAUAACAGCGCAAUCUCCUUCUAGAGCCCAUAUCGACAAGGAGGUUUACGACCUCGAUGUUGGAUCAGGACAUCCUAAUGGUGCAGCCGCUAUUAAGGGUUCGUUUGUUCAACGAUUAAAGUCCU